UUAUCCCUUCUGAUGACGUACCAUGACGUCUGACGAGUAUACACUUGCAGGGCAAGGGAGGAAGGAAUGAUUUUUAAAUGGACCGCCCUUGACCGGAAAUUCGUCACUCGUUCAUUCCGCAAUGAUUGUUUUCAGCCACUGGUAGCUUGUAGAUGCUUUAUAUGCUCUACAGUCAAUUAUGAUUGCAUGUCUACUUAUAGUAACUAUAUAAUUAUUAAUAUACGCCUACUGUAUGAUAGCUAGAAAAUGAAUUAGCUAACGUUAUCCUGCCUAGCUGGAACUUCUGAAGGAAAAUGUGUUAUUUCUACAAUUUCCAAAAGCUAACCAAAUUUCAAAGCUAACCAAUUUCCAAAAGCUAACCAAACCGAAACCAUAAUUACUUUUAUGAGACCUGGUUGUGCCGUCAUGUGCAUUAGAAGCACCAUUUCUAACCUGUUUACUUACACUUGUAUGUUGACUUAUCCAUAUUGACGUUGAGGUUUUACGUUUCGGUUGACUUUUCUUAGCGGAUGUACAAUCAACGCGAAUUAAAUUAUGGGGGGGUUUCAAGGCCCGAAGUGAACAUAAUUGUACACUUCCCUUGUUUGGACCGACGUCCAAUAUGGUGACGGGGAUUCCCACAAGGGCAUAAGGCGAGGGUGCAGAAUGCCGUGUAUGAAGGAUUGACAGGGGUGUAGAGAUGAGCAAUGCCAGUGGAAUUUGGGGACACAGUGGAAUUUAGCUCCAAAAAGGUUGAGCGAGAUCUUUUGAGUUCUCUGACAGCACUCCAGCCGCUUCUCCAUCUCUACCGCUACCUCUGCUUGUAAUUUUAUGACUUUUAUGUUAAGCUGGAGGAGUGUAAAUGUGCCAGCUUGGAUGAGGUUACUAAAGCACAGAGUGCCUCCUAUGCAUGGUAUGACACACUUAAAUUUCAGAUCACUGCAAGCUCAGUAAAGAAUGUUCCUGUGCGCACCUCAACAAAUCCUGACCACUUUGUGCAGGAGCAUCUCUUCCCCAGGUUCCAUGGAAACUCAGAAACCACAUAUGGCAAGAAAAACGAGCAGGUGGCCUACACAUGGAUGGAGAGCUGUGGGUUUAGUUUGGAGAGUAGAGGCACAGUAGUGUGUCAAUGAGCCAUGUCUUUCUGCAAGCCCACAGAUGGAGUGUUAAACUCUCAAGAACUUCUAGAAAUUAAAAUGUCCUGUUCUGAGUGAAGUGUGAGUCUCUGGCAAACUCCUCGACGUGAAGCUGGUGGAUGGAGUUCCUCAGCGGCAACAUAAUGGAGCCUGUGGGUACUACAUGCAGGAGCAAUUGGGCAUGUUCUGCACAGGACUGGAGAUAUGCAAACUGUUGUCUGGGCUCUGUCCGAGGUGGUUGUUAUUGAUGUGCCUAUUGAUGUGAAGUUCUGUGCUGAUGUUAUCCCUAAACUGAAGGCAUUCUAUUUCCUACAUAUGCUGCCAAGGGUAGUAUAUGAGUUCCAGUUAGGCAGACUUGUGUGCUCAAAAUAUGUUAAAUCUGUGGUUUCUAGGCUAAUACUUUGUUUUGAAAUAGUUCUGAUAUUUUGUGCCUUGUAAAGAUCUCUCUGUUAGCUCUACCUUAUUAUCUAAGCAUAACUCUUGGUGUUUUUUGUUGUCUUGCACAGUUCUCUUCAUAUGCACAUUUACCUGAUUUAUAUUUGCAUAAUUCUUCUUGGUGUUUUUUAUGUCUUGCCUUGUACAGCUCUCUUCAUACAUGUUUAUCUAAUGCCUAAGGAUAACUCCUUAUGAUUUAUGAAUAUAUUAAUUGUACCUUGUAUAGCUCUUUAGUUUCAUUUGGCACUUCAUUAACUUAUCUAAGCAUACCAUAACGCAUCUUGCACUUGAGAAAUUAUGGCUUUAAUAAAAACAUGAAAUUCCA